AGGAUUAUAAUUUAAUAAAAAUAUUUGAAUUGCAAUCAAAAAAUAAUAAUUAUAAACUAUUUUAUCUUA
rnacentral:tRNA from 1 species